CUGAGCACCAAGAUGUUUCCUAUUACCAUCCCAGUAGCAGUUGCAUCUGGACAGUUUUCCUUAUCUCCUGUUAAUAGGCCCAUCAAUGUCUCGCCUCAUGACUCAGAGAUAACACUCUCCAAGAGCCAGUUCUGUUUAACAGGUUUCCAAGAAGACACAGCAACCACAUCUGCCACUCCAAGAGGACUGCAGCCACUCCAAUUUGGACUGCUACCAGCACACUGGCCAAAGCGGGUGUCAGGUUGUAUUCUGACUUUGCCAGUGGUCUUCCUUUUGUAUCAUUGUGUGUAUUUUUGUCUUUUGUUUUCCCUUUUCCCAAUAAAUUGUAUUUCUGA